rnacentral:rRNA from 1 species
AGUGAACGCUGGCGGUAGGCCUAACACAUGCAAGUCGAACGGCAGCACAGUAAGAGCUUGCUCUUACGGGUGGCGAGUGGCGGACGGGUGAGGAAUACAUCGGAAUCUACUUUUUCGUGGGGGAUAACGUAGGGAAACUUACGCUAAUACCGCAUACGACCUACGGGUGAAAGCAGGGGAUCUUCGGACCUUGCGCGAUUGAAUGAGCCGAUGUCGGAUUAGCUAGUUGGCGGGGUAAAGGCCCACCAAGGCGACGAUCCGUAGCUGGUCUGAGAGGAUGAUCAGCCACACUGGAACUGAGGCACGGUCCAGACUCCUACGGGAGGCAGCAGUGGGGAAUAUUGGACAAUGGGCGCAAGCCUGAUCCAGCCAUGCCGCGUGGGUGAAGAAGGCCUUCGGGUUGUAAAGCCCUUUUGUUGGGAAAGAAAAGCAGCAGGUUAAUACCCCGCUGUUCUGACGGUACCCAAAGAAUAAGCAACGGCUAACUUCGUG